rnacentral:lncRNA from 1 species
CCGACAGUUACAAUGCUUGACAGUCAAACAUAUAGCUUUUUUGAGUGAAAAUUUGUAUAUUAUAUUAAACAUAUAUUAACCGUGAAUAAAAACACACAGCAUUUCAAUUUACUAAUAUCAAUACAUCUCAGUUAAGAACUAAAACUUAGACAAGUAAUAACACAAACUCUCAGCGAGAACUAAAAACCUGAUCUAGUUUAAUCUUUGGUCUCAAAGAGCUCACCUAGGUAGACACUAACAUAACACAAAUUAAAAACCAGAUUUAGUUUAAUAUCGAAAAGCUGCGUAACACAAACUCUUAUCGAAAACUAGAAUCCAAAACGAAAACAAAAAAAACUCGAUCCAAUUUAAUAUGGGUCUCAAAGAGCCCAUUUAGAAAAACUGGGUAGACACUAUUUUUGGGCCAAAGAGUAACACAACACAGACUAAUAGCAAGACAGGUGAUACAAACUCUUAAUAAGAACUAAUCCAGAAGGUACGAGAAUUAAAAACCCAAGAACCAAAAACUCUAGUUUAAUCUGGGUCUCGAGGAACCCAUCUAGAAAAAUCCAGUAGACAUUAUUUCCGGGACAAAAAGUAACACAUAACACGAACUAAAAACCCGAUUCAGUAAAAUUUCAAGGCACAUUACACAAACUCUUAACAAGAACUAAAAACCUGGUUUAAUUUGAUUUCAAGACACAUGAUACAAAUCCUUAACAAAGAACUAACAACCCCAAAAAUCAUAACACAAACUCUUUCUUAACGAGAAUUAGAAACCCAAAAACUGAAGACCCGAUCCAGUUUAAUCUGGGUCUCGAGGAGCCCAUUUAGAAAAACCGGGUAUAUACUAUUUUCGGGGAUGGUCCGGAUAGGCCAGACCGGUAAUAAUUCAGAAAAACCGACUGUUUCGAGAGGAAGAUCACAGUUUCGACGAAAAGUCAAAAUCUUCAUUCAAGCCAUUAAACGAACACAUGGCGUGCACACACAAAAUACACACUUAUUCUCUCAGCAAGUAGAACGCGAACCCUAAUUUAACGAAUAAACAAUCCAUUUCUCUAUAUCUCGACGAUGUUCAGAAACUAACCUAUUAUUUCCUUUUAACAUCUUCGACGAUUCCUUCGUCGGAUUCCGGUAGGGUGUCCACCAUGAUUGAAUGGGCGUUACCCUGUUGUUGCUGCUGUUGCUGUUCGUUGUUCAUGAACCGUUCCAUGUCUCGCAGCCUGGUUCUCACCACAUAUGUAACCACAACUGAAACAAGGAGAAGAAUGUGAGCGUGAAUAUAUGAUUGUGUGCAUAUGUGCAUGGAGGAAGAAGAAGGGAGGUGAGUUACUAGCGGCGGUUCCGAGAGUCCAGAGCCAGAGGAUCUUCAAGCCAGGGCUCUUCUCCCGACGCAUAUUUGUUCGAUGUUAAUCAACGAUUUGAUUCAGGAAUUGAUUACCCAAUUCGCUUGCAGCGAUUGCUGUAAUGGUUGUUUGUUUCACUUCGAAGAUGAAGACGGGGGGAAAGCUCCGAUGGGUCAUCGAAGAAGAAACGGGCUGGGCCCAUGUUACAAGAUUUUCAAUUAUCUUAUGAUCAAUAUAUAUACAUAUAUAACUUAACUAAUGAAGCCUACAAAAUUUUCAAUUAAGAAAAAGUAUUGGGUGCUAAAAACAAAUAAGUUUUCAAUUUGGCAGAACAUAAAAAUUUUCAGUUGAUGAAUACCCAAUUUGGCAGAAUAGAAAUAAAAGUCUUUUUAAGGGUAUGGCCAGGAAUAUUAAAUGUAAAAACUUCAAUUUUGAAGUUUUCAAACUUGGGCAGCAGAGAAUUCAAAAUUCAGGAUUUAAAAUAUACACAGAAAGUCUUCUAAUGCAGGUCAAUUGAGUCAGACUUAAGGAUUUAAGCAAUCCACUGGUUUCAGAAUCUUCUUUCAUUGUAAGUAAAGAUAAAGAUACAUUUCAUACCUGAAAAUAAAGUUAUUCAAAUCAUCUAAUGAUGAAGAAUUAUAAAAAUGAAUAUGAAAUUAGAAAGAUUUAAUUUCUGACCAAGAAAAAAAAAGAAUCAGUCCAUAUAUGUUGAAGAAAAACAGACGUAUUGAAAGAGUUGAGAUAACUGAGUAAUUCAUCAAACCAUGUUUACUUUAAGAUCUAUGGAGAUGAAGUCUUUCCUUUCUUUCUUUCUUUGUAAAUAUUUAAUUAUGACCAUCGCCAUAGGUCUUAGAUUUGCUACAGUACAAGCACAAGCCAUGCCAAAACUAUGUUAGGGUGUAACAACUAUUUUGAUCAAUGUAAAAUAACUCAGCUAUAAACAAGCAACAGAUUAAAAAGAAAAUUUUGACGUAUGACAACAUUUCUAGAAAUCAAGAAAGCAAGAGAACUAAAUUACAGAUAACUCUUUCAUUACCUUGCAUUUUGUCUUUAUCACCGAAUUUGGAGGGUCAAUAGGUGACUUGCCAUCGACAUUUUAGUAGCCGCUAGUAUUUUGUUUUUCUAACCAAAAUCAAACAGUUACAAUAUCUUCUAUCUUCAUAACUCAUAAUUGUCCUAAGUUCCCAUUUUCAUUACUAGAAACUGCAGUAUCCUUUGUCUUAGCCCACCAUUUCUGAUGAAGCCAAGUGAAGAGACCAAAACGCAGAAAUAGAAUUCGGUUAUUCCAACCACAUGACAUAUAAUUCCAAUUUCCACCUUCUUGUGACUUGAUUAAAAAUGAACUGGAAAACUAAAGCAUAAUAUGAUUGAUCAUAAGCAUUUAUCAAGCUUAAAGUAUCUUAACUAUGCUCUUAGGGUCUUAUCAUUUUUACCCCAACGAGAUAACAAGCUAUAGCAAAAAACUUAGUUUUUAUUUUGACCAUUUGCUUUUGGUUCCUCCAAACAGCAUUUUUACAAACAAUACAGGUUGUGCCUUCAGAUUAUUUAAGGAAGAGUUCAGUCUCGACGCACAGAAACUAAGCAUAUCUUAGAAUAAAUUUCAACUUUCUCACUUAGAACAUGCAAAGAAAAAAAAAAGAACAGGAUAUCCCAAAAAAGAAGAAUAAAAAAUAAUUAGAAAUGUGUUCUUCCCAGGUCUCUGAAGCAACAUUUUCAUAAAUAUAUCAUGCUUACAGCAACAAAUUAUUAAAAACACUAUCUUGUGCCAAUGUGCAAUAAGAUAUUAAAUGAACGUCCUUUUUUGUCUACAAACGUCCAUGCAAUGAGCCAUGAAAAAUGACAACUGUGAUAUCACCAGAUUUAUAAUAAUAAUUUGAAGCCACAACUUCACAUUUUAUUGGUUAAAGAAAUGACGAGUGGUUAGUGUAUAGUGUUUAUCAGGACCCUACUUGAAAUUUCAAGCAGAUAACUCUUUUUAAUAUAACUAAAGACUAAAAAAUCUUAUUCAACUUUAACAAAGGAUGACAUUUCCUUGUUAAUAUACUUAAAAAAAAAUCAUGGAAAGCUAGGCUACAUCCUGCCAAAUUGAAUUGUCAGAGAAUCUUGAUUUUCCAUAGAUUAUGUUAAAUAUAUAUAAUAAAUCACUUAAUUUUUAUCACUUUAGAUCCUUUUAAAAUCAAUAUAACUCUGUUAUUUCAUACUAUAUGAGAACGAAAAAUUUUUAACUUACACCUUAAACUUGUUCUUUCUCUUACUCGUGAAUUAUUGGAAAAUUUAUUUUCUUUUAAUUCUGUCAAAAUUCCAUGCCUUUGCCACUAUUUGGCUUUCUUUAUUUUUUACUUGAAUUCUUUUAUAAGCUUAUACUUCUUAGAUAAAUUAGUUCAAUUCCAUUUAGACCUAAAAUUUGGCUCAUGUGAUGACUUAUCGUGCAGAUUCAGGAAAUAUAAGUUCAUCAAAUAAAACAAUGGUCUCAAAACUGAUCUUGUGGUCAAAUUAUUGGUUUUUUGUUGUCCAUUUCUGAAACCGUCUGCAAUCUCUUCCUCAAGGUUCUUCCUACACAAGGAGUGAUGCUAACAAAAUAUCAACCGUUUGGAGCAGUAUGGUUUUAGUCAAUCAAACCUUAACACAUGCUUUCUUAAUUAUGCAAAAAGAGUACAUUUUGAUAGUUUAUGAGCCUAAAUCAAGUAAGUGUGUAGAAAAUUAACUUGUACUGAAAGGGAACUAACCAAAAAAGAACCAAGAAGCAAAGUUACCUGGUGUUUUUUUCCUUAUAGAAGCAGUAAAUUGUGCCUGAGGAUCUGCUUAAAAUUCUGAGCAAGAUAAACUUUUUUCCAUCUGUGAUUGGAUAAAGUCCAUUUUGUGUUGUAGACUGAACAAGUACACGUUGCAUACCUAACAGCUGGAGGUGAGACUAUUAAUGGUCCACCUUGGAGAUUUGAUCAAAAUGAGUGUCUGUUCGUAAUUAAACAAAGAAUAGAUAAAUUAUUUGUUGGUCUGAAUGGUUAUUUCGAUCAUUUAUCUCUUUAAAAGUGAGAGAGUUUAGAUCUAAAUUGUGCAUCUUAUCGCAAGAGAACUAAUUGAAAAAAUCAAUUAAAAAAAAGGAAGAAGAAUAAAAAAAUGGUAUGGUAGUUAAUAUUUCAUAAAUCAAUAAAAGUGCUCCAUUGUCCUUCCCAAUUGAAGAAGACUGUUGCUUAUUCAAACAAAGACUAGAAUGACUCCAACAUCCUCUCAUUGUCAAUGUCCCCAACCCAUAGGUCAUUACUCCAAACCUAAACCAGCAAAUUAAAAAUAAUUUUACCCACUAAUUAACUCUAUUCAGCAAUAAACUAGUCAAACAAACAAUCAACUAGAAAAUUCUAAUCAACAUCUAAUCGGAUUUUAAUAAAGAGAGGAUAAAGAGAAAAAGGGGACCAUCUUACCAGCUUCACCUUCCUUCCUCCUCCAUUUUCCUCCCCCUAGAACAAAACCCAGUUCAUAUUUUCUGGAGAAACAAAAGGGUUUGUUCUCUGCGCCAUGGAUAAGUUGGUGAAGCCAGACGUGAAAGAAAUAGACCUGGUUUUUAAGAGG